GUCCCAGACUCCUACGGGAGGCAGCAGUGGGGGAUAUUGCACAAUGGGGGAAACCCUGAUGCAGCGACGCCGCGUGUGGGAAGACGGUCCUCUGGAUUGUAAACCACUGUCCCCAGGGACGAAAAUGACGGUACCUGGGGAGGAAGCUCCGGCUAACUACGUGCCAGCAGCCGCGGUAAUACGUAGGGGGCGAGCGUUAUCCGGAUUCACUGGGUGUAAAGGGAGCGUAGACGGCCAAGCAAGCCAGGGGUGAAAGCCCGGGGCCCAACCCCGGGACUGCCCUUGGAACUGCAUGGCUGGAGUGCGGGAGGGGCAGGCGGAAUUCCUGGUGUAGCGGUGAAAUGCGUAGAUAUCAGGAGGAACACCGGCGGCGAAGGCGGCCUGCUGGACCGUGACUGACGUUGAGGCUCGAGAGCGUGGGGAGCAAACAGGAUUAGAUACCCCGGUAU
rnacentral:rRNA from 1 species